rnacentral:tRNA from 1 species
UGGGGUGUAGCUCAGUGGUGGAAUGUUUGCCUAGCAUGUGCAAGGUCCUGGGUUCAAUUCCCAGUACUGCAA